rnacentral:rRNA from 1 species
CAGUAGCCGCGGUAAUACGUAGGGUGCAAGCGUUAAUCGGAAUUACUGGGCGUAAAGCGUGCGCAGGCGGUGUUGUAAGACUGAUGUGAAAUCCCCGGGCUCAACCUGGGAACUGCAUUGGUGACUGCAACGCUGGAGCGCGGCAGAGGGGGAUGGAAUUCCGCGUGUAGCAGUGAAAUGCGUAGAUAUGCGGAGGAACACCGAUGACGAAGGCAAUCCCCUGGGCCUGCACUGACGCUCAUGCACGAAAGCGUGGGGAGCAAACAGGAUUAGAUACCCCUGUAGUCCCUGUCUCUUAUAC